GCACAUGUGAGAAGCCUGGCUCUUGAUUCCAAAGAACUUAUGUUUCAGGAGCGUGACCCUCACCAGAGGACAUUGGCCACCCUCUAGCAAGAGGAGGAGGGCAGCCUAUCCCGUUUCUCAGACGGAACCCAGACCGCACUGGGUCCUCCAGGAGACCGAGGAGCUGUCCAGGCAACUGCCCAGAGCUUGUGGGUGGCAAUAUGGGUGCAUGUAGACAGAGUGAGAAAAAAAAAAGGACAAGACACCAUGUGCAGAAUAAUGUCAAAAAUGGAUUCGGAAUUUUUCAUCUACUCCGCACCAUGAAAAAUGGAUGUGUUUGGCACGAAAGUCAUUUGAACAUAAAGCCCAGCCUCGGUGGAAAGACAACCUUCGAAAAACUUUUCAAGUAACUUUACUCAUUCGCACUUGCUUCCACCGGGGAAGGUCAGGCUCAUGUGAAAGAUGGAAAUUUCCUUCACAAACCUAGAUGCUGAUGAGAUUUGUUUUUGUAGAUAAUCUGCAGCAGUGAAAUUUUUCAUAAUGUCACUGCAAAAUAAAUUAAAAUGUUCAUCUUCA
rnacentral:lncRNA from 1 species